rnacentral:lncRNA from 1 species
UUUUAAUCCUAAAGCUAGUUAUAUAAAACUACAACCAAGUUGUUCACGACACCAAUAACUAGAGUGGCAUACACAUGUACUUCCAUUCAUAUAACUACUUAUAAUAUACUUUCUAAAUCAGGUCGACAAUUCAUCAUCCACUUUUUAGAUAAACAACAAGAAUGACUAAAUAACCCUCCCAAAGUUAUGUAAUACAACAAAGGGUCUUCAUGUUUGCAAUAUAACAAAGUUAUGUAAUACAACAAAGUUAUGUUGCAACAAUUUGAGGAAAACAUUGUGAUGGAUCAUCCCUAUUGCAUGUUGCAACAUAUUAUUAUUGCUUCAAUUAUGUCAAGUUCCUUUGUGGCAUCCAUAGCAUGUAUUUUUAAAUGCUGAUGGGAGUUCACCUGCAUUAAGAAACAACAUAUUUUUGAAAGCAACUAAUUAUCCGCUUGCAAAAGAGCUCAAUAGCCUCGUCAUCUAAUAAACUAAUAGUGUAUAUCACGUCUACUUUGUAAGCAUUUAAGAAAUGAUUAUCUCUAGUUUUGGUUAUUAUUGGCUUCAUUCAUCAAACCAAAUAUGUGAUGGUCAAUAUGAUCCAUAUCAUUAAGAACAAGCAACACAAUUCUGUAGUGAAACCUAUUAAUUAUAAAGCAUCAUCCUGCUUUAACUCUGUUUAUUUCCAUUUAUUUUCGUUUCAAAAUGUUUAAAGGCUUUUUUUUUCUUACAACUUUUCUAAACGAUACAUGCUUGAGUCGUCUAAAAUUCCUUCAACAAUGCAGCAACCAUCAAACUUGCUAGAUAUUUCACUAUAUGAAAAUACAUCAACCAUCAAUCAUACGCACACCAUUAAUAACUUUCAUUUCAAAUGUUGUUGCGAGCUUCUAUUCUACGCGGGUGUUAAUUUACGGUUGUAAGUUGAAAUUAUAUCAAUUUCUUUGAUGCACUUUGAUCCAUGCCUACAUAUUGGAUAUACAAGGAUAAUAAACAUAUGCUCACAUUGACAAAUGGAGGUAAUUUGUUUCAUGUUUUAUAAAAUAAAGUGUUCACAUUCAAACACACACACACACACACACACACACAC